rnacentral:rRNA from 1 species
UGGGGAAUAUUGCACAAUGGGCGAAAGCCUGAUGCAGCGACGCCGCGUGAGGGAUGACGGCCUUCGGGUUGUAAACCUCUUUCAGCAGGGAAGAAGCGAAAGUGACGGUACCUGCAGAAGAAGCGCCGGCUAACUACGUGCCAGCAGCCGCGGUAAUACGUAGGGCGCAAGCGUUGUCCGGAAUUAUUGGGCGUAAAGAGCUCGUAGGCGGUUAGUCGCGUCUGCUGUGAAAACUCGAGGCUCAACCUCGGGCUUGCAGUGGGUACGGGCUGACUAGAGUGCGGUAGGGGUGACUGGAAUUCCUGGUGUAGCGGUGGAAUGCGCAGAUAUCAGGAGGAACACCGAUGGCGAAGGCAGGUCACUGGGCCGCAACUGACGCUGAGGAGCGAAAGCAUGGGGAGCGAACAGGAUUANGAUACCCCUGGUAGUCCAUGCCGUAAAACGUUGGGCACUAGGUGUGGGGUCCAUUCCACGGAUUCCGUGCCGCAGCAAACGCAUUAAGUGCCCCCGCCUGGGGAGUACGGCCGCAAGGCUAAAACUCAAAUGAAUUG